GAGAAUCAGUAAGGUCCGUUUGAGACUAAGACGUAGAUAGGUCAGGUGUGUAAGUGUAGUGAUACAUUGAGCUAACUGAUACUAAUGAACCGAGAGUCUUAACCUUACAAC
rnacentral:rRNA from 1 species